rnacentral:rRNA from 1 species
GACGAACGCUGGCGGCGUGCUUAACACAUGCAAGUCGAACGGAAAGGCCCUGCUUUUGUGGGGUGCUCGAGUGGCGAACGGGUGAGUAACACGUGAGUAACCUGCCCUUGACUUUGGGAUAACUUCAGGAAACUGGGGCUAAUACCGGAUAGGAGCUCCUGCUGCAUGGUGGGGGUUGGAAAGUUUCGGCGGUUGGGGAUGGACUCGCGGCUUAUCAGCUUGUUGGUGGGGUAGUGGCUUACCAAGGCUUUGACGGGUAGCCGGCCUGAGAGGGUGACCGGACACAUUGGGACGGAGAUACGGCACAGACUCCUACGGGAGGGAGCAGUGGGGAAGAUUGCACAAUGGGAGGAAGGCUGAUGCAGCAACGCCGCGUGCGGGAUGACGGCCUUGGGGUUGUAAACCGCUUUCGCCUGUGACGAAGCGUGAGUGACGGUAAUGGGUAAAGAAGCACCGGCUAACUACGUG